GUCGAGAUCUCGAACUCAAAAAUUAAUCUUAAAAAUUAAAAGUAUGUACACAAACCAACACACCACAAAUAGAACUUGCAUUCACACAAAAUAGAUUUUUCUCUAAAUCAAGCAUAAUGAAUGUGGCGUAUUAAGCGAUUUCAAUGAUACUUUAACCUUACAAUACUAUAUACAAUUGAUAGUUCUAUAAAAAUACGUUCUAAGCAUAUUGUAACCCUGAAAAAUAAUAUGCAGCAUGCUAGCACAUGUUGGAGUCAAGAGUAUAAUUAUUUAAAAUUGCAAAGUGCGCUUUUUUCAAAAGCGUACAACUCAAGGUGUGAAUUGUUGAUCGAUAAUGUUCAUCAACAACAUGCUAUGUAAGCUUAUGUACUACUGCGGAUUUCGAUUUACCGUUUCAGCGCUUUAAUUUCCGGUAAUUGUUUUCCCGUUGAAACAUACACGUUUCUAACGGUCAAUGUCAAUGUUACUAAGUGAAGUCUAGUGGUCUUUGUCCGUUGUUUUCUUGUCCGUUGUUUAUCAUUUGUAAAUGUAACGGUUAUAUUCGUGUUUAUCUCGUCUUUGGCGACAUUUUGAUAUAUAAUUUACAAAGUUUUGUGGAUCAUUUCAUGUUUUUAUUGAUAUUUUGGAAAUUGUAGCGUAUAAAAGGCUUCAAAAUAAUUUACUGGCCUUUUAUACGCUACAAUUUCCAAAAUAUCAAUAAAAACAUGAAAUGAUCCACAAAGCUUCGUAAAUUAUAUAUCAAAAUGUUGCCAAUGACGAAAUAAAUACGAAUAUAACAGUUACAUUCACAAAUGAUAAACAACGGAUAAGAAAACAACGGACAAAGACC